UACGUAGGGUGCGAGCGUUAAUCGGAAUUACUGGGCGUAAAGCGUGCGCAGGCGGUUUUGUAAGCCAGAUGUGAAAUCCCCGGGCUUAACCUGGGAAUGGCAUUUGGGACUGCAAGGCUCGAGUGCGGCAGAGGAGACUGGAAUUCCUGGUGUAGCAGUGAAAUACGUAGAUAUCAGGAGGAACACCGAUGGCGAAGGCAGGUCUCUGGGCUGACACUGACGCUCAUGCACGAAAGCGUGGGGAGCAAACAGG
rnacentral:rRNA from 1 species